rnacentral:rRNA from 1 species
UGGGGAAUUUUGGACAAUGGGCGCAAGCCUGAUCCAGCCAUGCCGCGUGCGGGAAGAAGGCCUUCGGGUUGUAAACCGCUUUUGUCAGGGAAGAAAUCUUCUGAGUUAAUACCUCGGGAGGAUGACGGUACCUGAAGAAUAAGCACCGGCUAACUACGUGCCAGCAGCCGCGGUAAUACGUAGGGGUGCAAGCGUUAAUCGGAAUUACUGGGCGUAAAGCGUGCGCAGGCGGUUUUGUAAGACAGAGGUGAAAUCCCCGGGCUCAACCUGGGAACUGCCUUUGUGACUGCAAGGCUUGAGUGCGGCAGAGGGGGAUGGAAUUCCGCGUGUAGCAGUGAAAUGCGUAGAUAUGCGGAGGAACACCGAUGGCGAAGGCAAUCCCCUGGGCCUGCACUGACGCUCAUGCACGAAAGCGUGGGGAGCAAACAGGAUUAGAUACCCCUGGUAGUCCACGCCCUAAACGAUGUCAACUGGUUGUUGGGAAGGUUCCUUCUCAGUAACGUAGCUAACGCGUGAAGUUGACCGCCUGGGGAGUACGG